AAGGCUCAUGAGCAGCCUGUGAUAACUACAGAGGCAUCUCACUACUCUCCACUGCUGGAAAGAUCCUCGCCCGUGUUAUACUCAACAGACUCCUGUCAUCUGUUUCAGAACAGAACCUGCCUGAAUCACAAUGUGGCUUCCAACCAGAUCGUAGCACCAUCCACACGGUCUUCACAGUGAGGCAAAUGCAGGAAAAAUGCCUUGAGCAGAACCUAAGACUCUACAUUGUCUUCAUAGAUCUGACAAAGGUGUUCGACACAGUGAAGAGGGAUGCAUUGUGGGUGAUCCUCAGCAAGUUCGGUUGCCCAGCAAAAUUCGUCAAACUGAUCCAGCUCUUUCAUGUCGACAUGACAGGGGAAGUCCUAUCUGGUGGAGAGACUUCCGAUCGCUUCAACAUCUCCAAUGGCAUGAAACAAGGCUGUGUCCUCGCUCCGGUAUUAUUCAACCUAUUUUUCACCCAAGUAUUACGACAUGCUGUGAUGGAUCUAGACCUGGGCAUCUACAUCAAAUACCAACUGGAUGGCUCACUAUUCAACCUUCACCGCCUGACCUCAAAAACAAAGACAACAGAGAGACUCAUCCUGGAAGCUCUCUUUGCAGAUGACUGUGCUCUCAUGGCCCACCAAGAAAAUCAUCUUCAAACCAUUUUGGAUAGGUUCUCUGCUGCAACAAAACUGUUUGGCCUGACUAUCAGCCUCAGCAAAACAGAGGUGCUGUUCCAACCUGUACCAGGGAGGCCAACUAACCAGCCGUGCAUUACAAUCGACGGCACGCAGCUUUCUAACAUCAACACUUUCAAGUACCUGGGCAGCACCAUCACCAACGACGGGUCCCUAGACCACGAGAUUAAUGCCAGGAUCCAAAAGGCCAGCCAGGCACUCGGGCAGCUGUGCUGCAAAGUCCUCCAACACAGAGGUGUAAGCACUGUAACGAAGCUCAAAGUGUACAACGCAGUGGUCCUCGGCUCACUCCUGUACGGUUGUGAGACAUGGACACUGUACCAGAAGCACAUGAAACAGCUGGAGCAAUUCCACCAACGCUCCCUCCGGUCAAUCAUGAGGAUCCGAUGGCAGGACCGAAUCACCAACCAGGAAGUCCUCGACAGAGCCAACUCCACCAGCAUCGAAGUCCUGGUCCUCAAAACCCAGCUACGAUGGUCUGGACACGUCAUCCGCAUGGACCCACAGCAAAUACCAAGACAGGUAUUCUAUGGUGAACUGUCAGCUGGACUCAGGAACAAGGCCGACUCUUAUGAAAAGAUUCAAGGAUCAGCUAAAGUCCAACUUGAAGUGGGCUGGCAUUACACCAAAGCAACUAGAACUCGCUGCCUCUGUCAGAAGCAGCUGGCGAACCCACAUUCACCAUGCCGCCUCCACCUUUGAAGAUGAGCGACGUCAACGUCUUGCCGCUGCGCGUGAACGCCGAC
rnacentral:lncRNA from 1 species